AAAGCUCGCUGUUCACGAAUCGAGGGUAGGAGUCGCGAUGCAUCAACGUGUAAAUCUGCAAUUGCGCCUCGUCGAACGUGUGAGGCGUUGGCUCCACCAUGUUCCUGUUCACGAUCUCACGUACUCGGGAAUCCAGCGACACCUGACGGUCAGAACAAUCAUCAGUCGUGUGAGGUUAGGAAACGAACGUCGGCGGAGAGCACCGAUUAGCAACAAAGUGAAAAAUUAGUGCUCUAAAACAAAAUGGCAGAGUCAUCUUUUCUCUUUAAACUUCUCAUGUCAGUUACGAUGGAUACUAAUAUCCAAGGAUUUUCUGUCAAGAAUUCACAGAAUCGGUAUUGACAAAAUGCGAAUACAAAGGUCCCUGAUCACGAAUUCGAGGCCAGAGCAAGGAAAUUCAGGGCAGAAAAUGGUGAUAGAUUCAAGACUCAUCGCGAAGGUAUGUUCGGGCCGAACUUGUGGCAGAGAUUUUGGGUCAUCGCCAACAAAAGCUGCGAGGACGUUUAUCUGACGUCCGGAUUGUGGAAUGGAGGAGUAGAAUCCAAAAAAGAGAAGAGAGCAAACGCUCGUGGUAGAGGACAAGAAACGUUAGAAGCACGGCACUAAAGAGGGCACUGCAGCAUGUGCAAUGAAAGCCGGGAUGUUAUAGUAGCCGUGGAAUGAAGAGAAAGGAGGCGGAAGGACAACCAAGCGAGAGUGAAGAGAACUCGAAAUAGAAUUGAAAAUACACGUAUACAAAUAUUCAUAUUAUAUUGUAUAUAUAUAUACGUGAGUGUAUACGACAACAGAAAUCGGGAUAUUGGAAUAUCGACGAGGGUUGUACGCGACUCUCAGUAGGGUGAACUAAAAAAUAUGGAAAAUGAAAAAAAAAAAUCUACAAAAUAAAAACUUUGCUCUUGCCAUCCGUGUGGCCUACUUUGCGAAAGAGAUUGGUGGACGUGCUCUCGCUCAAUGUGCUUCGACGGAUUUACACGUUUAACAUACAACAUGCGAGGCAUUCCACGUCAUUUCGUUCAGCCGUGACUUCGACAAUUUAUAAUUCUUUUACAAUUUUUCUAGAAAAUACUCUCCAAUUGACUUGUCAAAAAUUUUCACCGCAUCGAUUUGUUUUCAUGAUAAUUUGUAUAUUCAGAAAAGAAAAGAAGAAACAGAAUGGACCGGCGUUGUCAACGCUCUUUUGGCAUCAGAAGUAUAAACCUUUCUCUUCUUUACUUGAAUAAUUGCAAUUUUUUCCGAAAAAUUCUAGUUUUAUAAAAUUCUAAAAUUCAAUAGCAUGGCCAAUUUCGCGAUUGUUCAUGCUGAUAUGAUUAAAGGGGCCCAUAUUUUUUUUUAUUGAACUUUCCUUCGGAUAAUCAAAAUUUUUAUUGCAUGUUUUCGAACCUCGCAAAUUCCGAGUUGUUUUUUUUCUUUUUUUAAGAGACGUGAGAUGAAAAAUCUAAAACAUGAUAAGUGUCCCGUUUGAGUGGAAUAACGUGGAACGUUUCGUAUCUUCUGAAUUACAUAAUACGGAGUAUCUACAACGGGAACUUGUACCGUACGUCCCGAGACCGAGUAUACAAACAAAAAUAUACUGUAAAUCAUGUA
rnacentral:lncRNA from 1 species